rnacentral:lncRNA from 1 species
GUCGCACUGAAAGUAGGGUUUGUCAGCCUGCCUUCGGUUUCGACUGUGCUGCACUUAGCUGGAGGCCGGUUUUGUAGCUAUGUGAAUAAUUGCUAGCGCUGUAAGACCCCCGAUGCUGGGCCUCUGCUCAAGUCCUGGGAUGAACUGGCCAACACCCCAACAUCUCGAGAGAAAAGAUGCACCUGAUGCAAACUGCAAGAGGUUUUAUUAUCAGCUAGCUGAGGAGAAGUCCCUCUGUCGUGCAGGGCAGAGGAGUUCAACCCCGAGCGGUGACAUUAGGGGACUUUUAACAGCUAGCUGAGGAGGUAGGAGGAGUUGGGAGGAGAGUUGGGAGGAGUUGGGAGGAGAAGUGGGAGGAGUUGGGAAGAGCUCUUCUGGGCGUCCUUGGUGAAAUUUACAAGGCAGGAGUGGGGAGUGAGUUCUUUCUGAAUUUUUAUCUCCGUGUCCUCGGCACAGGAAGGCAGGCAUCUCUGGUUGUACAGUAUAGAAACAAAAAGGCUUUUUGCUGGCUAUAGAGAACAAAGAGCUUCUUUCUAGCUGUAUUUUUAAAGAUCAGGGAAAACAAGCUUGGGGAACAUCCAGGGGCUUUACCUUCCAGGGAGAAACGCUCUAAGUUGGGGUCUCAUAGCGCCACCCGAACUGCUCCAAAUGAGGAACAGACAAUCCAGCCCCAACCCUCUGAUCCCUGCAUUCUUCGUGAACGUUGUCAAUUGUUUACAUUUUGUAUAUACAUGAUAUUUGCUUUCACACGGGUGUAUCUUUUUUUUCCGCCAAAAAGAAAUAAAUCAAAAGUUUUAUACAACAUA